rnacentral:lncRNA from 1 species
CGCGGAGCCGGGAGCGCGCCGCCUGCUGCCGAGCGCUCGCCGCUCUCUCGCGCCCCUGCUCGCUGCGCUGCCCGCACCCCCGUGGAGCGCCCGGCAGCCGCCGGAGCGCGGGAGGCACACCCCGCCGGGCUCGGGCCGAGGCGGCGCGACCGCAGGUCCGACAGCCGAGGGCGCCGCGGAGGCCGGAGCGGAGGCGAAGUCCAGCCCUGAGUGAGCCCAGCUUCUGCGGAUCAGGAGUUGGACCACAGCACCUUCCCUUCCUCCCAGCCCUGCCUCCUUCUGCAGAACGAAGCUCAAUAGAACUUUGUUGUUUUGCUUUUUACGCUGAGGGGAGAGAAGCAGACGAUGAGCUGAAAAGCCCGCACUGACCACGACGAGGGAUGAACAAAGUGUAGUGAGUGAGGAAAACGCGUACCAGGCACCCAGAAAGUACCUGGGAAUGGCAGAGGAGCCACAGACCCGCGUGAUUAGGCCACGGGAGAACCCUCAUGUUUACUGAGAACAGAGUGGUGAAAAGGGCGGCACGGGAGGCUGACACCUAGACCCGAAUCCUGGC